GAGAAUAAAGAAACCGGCAUGGAAAGGGUCAUCGACAGUGUGUCUUUGUUUAAGAAGCCUGGUGUGACUGGUAGAGGACUUUAUAAACUCAGGCCAGAGUGUGCCAAGAUGUUCAACCUUUACUUCUACCAUUACUCCAGAGCUGACCAGUCUAAGGCUGAAGAGGCUCAGAGAAAGAUAAAGAGGCAAAAUGGGGAAGAUUCAG